rnacentral:rRNA from 5 species
AGAGUUUGAUCCUGGCUCAGGAUGAACGCUGGCGGCGUGCCUAAUACAUGCAAGUCGAGCGAACGGACGAGAAGCUUGCUUCUCUGAUGUUAGCGGCGGACGGGUGAGUAACACGUGGAUAACCUACCUAUAAGACUGGGAUAACUUCGGGAAACCGGAGCUAAUACCGGAUAAUAUUUUGAACCGCAUGGUUCAAAAGUGAAAGACGGUCUUGCUGUCACUUAUAGAUGGAUCCGCGCUGCAUUAGCUAGUUGGUAAGGUAACGGCUUACCAAGGCAACGAUGCAUAGCCGACCUGAGAGGGUGAUCGGCCACACUGGAACUGAGACACGGUCCAGACUCCUACGGGAGGCAGCAGUAGGGAAUCUUCCGCAAUGGGCGAAAGCCUGACGGAGCAACGCCGCGUGAGUGAUGAAGGUCUUCGGAUCGUAAAACUCUGUUAUUAGGGAAGAACAUAUGUGUAAGUAACUGUGCACAUCUUGACGGUACCUAAUCAGAAAGCCACGGCUAACUACGUGCCAGCAGCCGCGGUAAUACGUAGGUGGCAAGCGUUAUCCGGAAUUAUUGGGCGUAAAGCGCGCGUAGGCGGUUUUUUAAGUCUGAUGUGAAAGCCCACGGCUCAACCGUGGAGGGUCAUUGGAAACUGGAAAACUUGAGUGCAGAAGAGGAAAGUGGAAUUCCAUGUGUAGCGGUGAAAUGCGCAGAGAUAUGGAGGAACACCAGUGGCGAAGGCGACUUUCUGGUCUGUAACUGACGCUGAUGUGCGAAAGCGUGGGGAUCAAACAGGAUUAGAUACCCUGGUAGUCCACGCCGUAAACGAUGAGUGCUAAGUGUUAGGGGGUUUCCGCCCCUUAGUGCUGCAGCUAACGCAUUAAGCACUCCGCCUGGGGAGUACGACCGCAAGGUUGAAACUCAAAGGA